AGUAAUGUCUGGGAAGCUGCCUGAUGGAGGGGGGUAACUACUGGAAACGGUAGCUAAUACCGCAUAACGUCUUCGGACCAAAGUGGGGGACCUUCGGGCCUCACGCCAUCGGAUGUGCCCAGAUGGGAUUAGCUAGUAGGUGGGGUAAUGGCUCACCUAGGCGACGAUCCCUAGCUGGUCUGAGAGGAUGACCAGCCACACUGGAACUGAGACACGGUCCAG
rnacentral:rRNA from 1 species